rnacentral:lncRNA from 1 species
GGCAUCAGAUCUGCUACCCUCCUCCCUGUUUCUUCCUCCUCCCUCUUCAGUUAGUCUCUUCAGUUGGUGACAAACUGGAAUUCAGUUCUGAGCCCUUCAUCACAGGAAACAAUUUGUGUAUUAGGGAACUGGAAGCCUUUGGGAAAUGGGAUGCCUCAAAUGAAUAUGCUACCUAAUAUCCUCAAGAGGGUAACUUGGAGGUCCCUGGGUCUCAGUUUCAUCUUCUGUAUAAUGAAGUAAUGAUUCUUCAC